GAAUUACUCCGAGCUUCGGGACCUAAAAGACAACCUGCCUCAUGGUCCGGAGGACGUGCAGGCAAUUCAGACUGCACCGGGGUGUGGGCGGAAACGGACACGCCUUCCUUAUUGAAAAGGGGUUUUAAAGUG
rnacentral:ncRNA from 1 species